rnacentral:rRNA from 1 species
UCCUACGGGGGGCAGCAGUGGGGAAUAUUGCACAAUGGGGGAAACCCUGAUGCAGCGACGCCGCGUGAGUGAAGAAGUAUCUCGGUACGUAAAGCUCUAUCAGCAGGGAAGAAAAAAAGUCUUUGGCUUUGGACGGUACCUGACUAAGAAGCCCCGGCUAACUACGUGCCAGCAGCCGCGGUAAUACGUAGGGGGCAAGCGUUAUCCGGAUUUACUGGGUGUAAAGGGAGCGUAGACGGCAGCGCAAGUCUGGAGUGAAAUGCCGGGGCUCAACCCCGGACCUGCUUUGGAAACUGUGCAGCUAG